AUUGAACGCUGGCGGCAGGCCUAACACAUGCAAGUCGAACGAGUGGCGGACGGGUGAGUAAUGUCUGGGAAACUGCCUGAUGGAGGGGGAUAACUACUGGAAACGGUAGCUAAUACCGCAUACCAUCAGAUGUGCCCAGAUGGGAUUAGCUAGUAGGUGGGGUAACGGCUCAACUAGGAGACGAUCCCUAGCUGGUCUGAGAGGAUGACCAGCCACACUGGAACGGAGGCACGGUCCAGACUCCUACGGGAGUCAGCAGGUGGGAAUAUUGCACAAUGGGAGCAAGCCGGAUACAGCCAGGCCGCUUGUAUGAAGAAGGCCUUCGGGUUGUAGAGUACUUUCAGCGGGGAGGCGUUACCCGCAGAAGAAGCACCGGCUAACUCCGUGCCAGCCGCCGCGGUAAUAC
rnacentral:rRNA from 1 species